UACGUAGGGUGCGAGCGUUGUCCGGAAUUAUUGGGCGUAAAGGGCUCGUAGGCGGUUUGUCGCGUCGGGAGUGAAAACUCAGGGCUUAACCCUGAGCUUGCAGUGGGUACGGGCAGACUAGAGUGCGGUAGGGGAGACUGGAAUUCCUGGUGUAGCGGUGAAAUGCGCAGAUAUCAGGAGGAACACCGGUGGCGAAGGCGGGUCUCUGGGCCGUAACUGACGCUGAGGAGCGAAAGCAUGGGGAGCGAACAGG
rnacentral:rRNA from 1 species